rnacentral:misc_RNA from 1 species
GAUGAAGAACGUAGCGAAAUGCGAUAAGUAAUGCGAAUUGCAGAAUUCCAGUGAGUCAUCGAAUCUUUGAGCGCACAUUGCGCCCUUUGGUAUUCCGAAGGGCAUGCCUGUUCGAGCGUCAUUAUCACCCCUCAAGCCCUCGGCUUGGUGUUGGACGGUUUGGUGGAGGCCCCCUCGGGGGCUCCUGCCCCUCCCAAAGACAAUGACGGCGGCCUCGUUGGACCCCCGGUACACUGAGUUCUUCACGGGACACGUAUCGGACACAUGGGUUUACGGGACACGGUCUGCCUCCCCUCAGGGAGAAUCUUUCUAAGGUUGACCUCGGAUCAGGUAGGGAUACCCGCUGAACUUAAGCAUAUCAAUAAGCGGAGGA